GAUGAACGCUGGCGGCGCGCUUAACACAUGCACGUCAAACGGAACGGCUCUUGCUUGCUUGGGUACUCGAGUGGCGAUCGGGUGAGUACCACGUGGGUGAUCUGCCCUGCACUUCGGGAUACGCCUGGGCAACUGGGUCUAAUACCGGAUAGGUCUACUUCUUGGCUGUUGUGGUGGGAAGUUUUUUCGGUGUGGGAUGAGAUCUCGGCCUAUCCGCUUGUUGGUGCGGUAAUCGCCGACAAAGGCGUCGACGGGUAGCCGGCCUGCGAGGGUGUAUGGCCACAUUGGGACUGAGAUACGGCCCAGACUCGUACGGGAGGCAGCAGUGGGGAAUAUUGCACAAUGGGCGCAAGCCUGAUGCAGCGACGCCGCGUGGGGGAUGAGGGCAUUCGGGUUGUAAACUCCUUUCGCUAGGGACGAAGCGUUGUUGUGACGGUACCUGGAGAAGAAGCACCGGCUAACUACGUG
rnacentral:rRNA from 1 species